AAAACAGUAUCAAAAUAAAAAGAGAACCAACUGUAUGGGAAAACAUAUUUGCCAAUGAUACCUCAGACAAGGGUUUGAUCUCCAAAAUAUAUAAAGAACUCACAUGACUCCACUCCAGGAAUACAAACAAUCCAAUUAAAAAAUGGGCAAAGGGCCUGAACAGACAGUU